CAAGAAUCUUCCACAAUCCAGUUUGAUGCUUUUCGAGAAUAAUAAGCUGAUGUAUCUUUAAGCAUUGCAUCUUCAAAGUCAUUUUCAUAGAACUCCAUUUCCCCCAUCCCAAUUUCAACAAAUAUACCUAGCACGUUCUUUAAUAAGGCUCUAUCAAUCUGUUCACCCUCACGUUCUUGAUCAAUCAGCGCUAUAACUGCAUCUCUAGCUUUACUUUUCAACUCUUGAUAAACCAAAUCACGGAAGCACGUCAGACCAACUUCAUUAAGUGCAGGGAGUGACCUUCGAGCAAUAAAAUACCGAUCAAGAUAAUGGAAGAACCGUGAAAGCCACCUGACCAUAAGUUUAUGAUUUGCCCAUCUUUUCACGAGCUCCCUCAGCAUGAACUCGUCGUGCUUCUCUCUCAAAGAAGAUAGAACUGUAGAAUUGAUGUACUCUUCAAAGGCUUCCUUGUAUUUCUCAUAUAACUGCUGAGAGUAAUCAUGAGGGGGCUUCUGUGUA
rnacentral:misc_RNA from 1 species